rnacentral:lncRNA from 1 species
AACGGAGGAGGCACGUCACUACUUGAUUUCGCCAGGGCUUCCGAGCUUAUGAUUGCGAACUCGACAUUUCAGAAGAGGGAGGAGCAUUUGGUCACCUUCAAGAGUUCGGCGGCGAGGACUCAGAUUGAUUACCUCCUCCUCAGAAGAUUUGGUCACCUUCAAGAGUUCGGCGGCGAGGACUCAGGUUGAUUACCUCCUCCUCAGAAGGAGCUAUAGGGGUAUGUGCAAGGACUGCAAGGUUAUUCUGGGAGAGUCCAUUUCGACUCUUCAUAGGCUCCUAGUGAUGGAUGUCGGUCUCUGGGUGAAGAGGAAAAUGAGGGGUGCUCGGGGACAGCCGCGGAUUAGAUGGGGUGUUUUGACUAAGGAGAAAGCACAGGAAC